rnacentral:rRNA from 1 species
GAUGAACGCUGGCGGCGUGCCUAAUACAUGCAAGUCGAGCGAACAGACGAGGAGCUUGCUCCUCUGACGUUAGCGGCGGACGGGUGAGUAACACGUGGAUAACCUACCUAUAAGACUGGGAUAACUUCGGGAAACCGGAGCUAAUACCGGAUAAUAUAUUGAACCGCAUGGUUCAAUAGUGAAAGACGGUUUUGCUGUCACUUAUAGAUGGAUCCGCGCCGCAUUAGCUAGUUGGUAAGGUAACGGCUUACCAAGGCGACGAUGCGUAGCCGACCUGAGAGGGUGAUCGGCCACACUGGAACUGAGACACGGUCCAGACUCCUACGGGAGGCAGCAGUGGGGAAUCUUCCGCAAUGGGCGAAAGCCUGACGGAGCAACGCCGCGUGAGUGAUGAAGGUCUUCGGAUCGUAAAACUCUGUUAUUGGGGAAGAACAAAUGUGUAAGUAACUAUGCACGUCUUGACGGUACCUAAUCAGAAAGCCACGGCUAACUACGUG